GACGAACGCUGGCGGCGUGCUUAACACAUGCAAGUCGAACGAUGAAGCCGGAGCUUGCUCUGGUGAAUUAGUGGCGAACGGGUGAGUAACACGUGGGUAACCUGCCCAUAAGACUGGAAUAACUCCGGGAAACCGGGGCUAAUACCGGAUAACAUUUUGAACCGCAUGGUGCGAAAUUGAAAGGCGGCUUCGGCUGUCACUUAUGGAUGGACCCGCGUCGCAUUAGCUAGUUGGUGGGGUAACGGCUCACCAAGGCAACGAUGCGUAGCCGACCUGAGAGGGUGAUCGGCCACACUGGGACUGAGACACGGCCCAGACUCCUACGGGAGGCAGCAGUAGGGAAUCUUCCGCAAUGGACGAAAGUCUGACGGAGCAACGCCGCGUGAGUGAUGGAGGCUUUCGGGUCGUAAAACUCUGUUGUUAGGGAAGAACAAGUGCUAGUUGAAUAAGCUGGCACCUUGACGGUACCUAACCAGAAAGCCACGGCUAACUACGUGCCAGCCGCCGCCGUAA
rnacentral:rRNA from 1 species